GAGCUGCACGCGACCCAGGUGCUGGCCUCUGAGCGGGUCGGCUCGGAGACUACAGGAUCAGGAGGAGGUUGGAGGUGAAGCGUCUGGAAUCCGGUGCGGAGGUAAAGAUGGACACCUGCAUGAGGGAAGGAAUAUGUGAGCAGCUUCCAUUUCCCUUCCAUGGUCUUCUCAGCUUCCUCCAACAGUAGAUUGUUCAGCCUCCCUAAAGCAGGAGAAGAGGAAGGGGAAGAAAGGUAAGAGACAGUAAAGGUCUUACUUAACUGGUAUUGUUAUAAUCAGUGUUUGGUUCUCUCCUGCCUUCAUGGAUAGUCAAAGCUGACCCUUUUUCUUAUUGUUAGGUGUUUUUCCGGGUUUCUAAGCAAAUACCUUGCUGCAGAUCUUCAACUGCAGGGGAGGGCAUGUUGCCAGAACAUCCUGUUUACAGAGGCCACUUAAAAUCCUUACGUUAACCCUAGGCAUACUGUGGUCAUCCUUUUCUGGUGGGUCACAUUGGCCCUCCAGAAGUUCUCUAGAACAGGAUCCAAGAUCUCCUGAGGUCAGCUCACUCCGUAUGGUCCAUAUCCUGUCACCACGUGGGAAUUAAGUUCCUAUCUCUGUUUCUCCUAAAUGGCAGGAAAAAAGGUAAAGUUCUCCUAAGAACUCUCUUAACACACUCCCCUUUGGAUCUUAGAGGGACUGGGAUGGAUCGG
rnacentral:lncRNA from 1 species